UAGGGAAUCUUCGGCAAUGGGGGCAACCCUGACCGAGCAACGCCGCGUGAGUGAAGAAGGUUUUCGGAUCGUAAAGCUCUGUUGUAAGUCAAGAACGGGUGUGAGAGUGGAAAGUUCACACUGUGACGGUAGCUUACCAGAAAGGGACGGCUAACUACGUGCCAGCAGCCGCGGUAAUACGUAGGUCCCGAGCGUUGUCCGGAUUUAUUGGGCGUAAAGCGAGCGCAGGCGGUUUGAUAAGUCUGAAGUUAAAGGCUGUGGCUCAACCAUAGUUCGCUUUGGAAACUGUCAAACUUGAGUGCAGAAGGGGAGAGUGGAAUUCCAUGUGUAGCGGUGAAAUGCGUAGAUAUAUGGAGGAACACCGGUGGCGAAAGCGGCUCUCUGGUCUGUAACUGGCGCUGAGGCUCGAAAGCGUGGGGAGCGAACAGGAUUAGAUACCCUGGUAGUCCACGCCGUAAACGAUGAGUGCUAGGUGUUGGAUCCUUUCCGGGAUUCAGUGCCGCAGCUAACGCAUUAAGCACUCCGCCUGGGGAGUACGACCGCAAGGUUGAAAC
rnacentral:rRNA from 1 species